rnacentral:rRNA from 1 species
CACAUGCAGUCGAGGGGUAACAGGGAUUGCUUGCAAUCCGCUGACGACCGGCGCACGGGUGCGUAACGCGUAUGCAACCUACCUUCUACAGGGGGAUAGUCAAUAGAAAUGUUGAAUAAUACCCCAUACGAUCAUUAAUCUGCAUGGAUUGAUGAAGAAAGUUCCGGCGGUAGAAGAUGGGCAUGCGUCCUAUUAGUUAGUUGGUAAGGUAACGGCUUACCAAGACAUCGAUAGGUAGGGGUCCUGAGAGGGAGAUCCCCCACACUGGUACUGAGACACGGACCAGACUCCUACGGGAGGCAGCAGUGAGGAAUAUUGGACAAUGGAGGCAACUCUGAUCCAGCCAUGCCGCGUGCAGGAAGACUGCCCUACGGGUUGUAAACUGCUUUUAUACAGGAAGAAUAGUACCUACGUGUAGGUAUUUGACGGUACUGUACGAAUAAGGAUCGGCUAACUCCGUGCCAGCAGCCGCGGUAAUACGGAGGAUCCAAGCGUUAUCCGGAAUCAUUGGGUUUAAAGGGUCCGUAGGCGGUCUGAUAAGUCAGAGGUGAAAUCCUGCAGCUCAACUGUAGCAUUGCCUUUGAUACUGUUAGACUUGAGUUAUUGUGAAGUAGUUAGAAUGUGUGGUGUAGCGGUGAAAUGCAUAGAUAUCACACAGAAUACCGAUUGCGAAGGCAGAUUACUAACAAUAUACUGACGCUGAGGGACGAAAGCGUGGGUAGCGAACAGGAUUAGAUACCCUGGUAGUCCACGCCGUANACGAUGGAUACUAGCUGUUCGAUCAACAUUGGUUGGUUGAGUGGCUAAGCGAAAGUGAUAAGUAUCCCACCUGGGGAGUACGCUCGCAAGGGUGAAACUCAA